rnacentral:rRNA from 1 species
UACAGAGGUCCCAAGCGUUGUUCGGAUUCAUUGGGCGUAAAGCGCACGUAGGCGGAUAUUUAAGUCAGGGGUGAAAUCCCAGAGCUCAACUCUGGAACUGCCUUUGAUACUGGGUAUCUCGAGUAUGGAAGAGGUGAGUGGAAUUCCGAGUGUAGAGGUGAAAUUCGUAGAUAUUCGGAGGAACACCAGUGGCGAAGGCGGCUCACUGGUCCAUUACUGACGCUGAGGUGCGAAAGCGUGGGGAGCAAACAGG